AAAUAUUUUAAUGAAAUUGAGUAUUAAUGAUUUUUAAUUGUUUAAUUACGUAGCUAAUGUCGUGUACGAGUCAUUGUCCGAGAAAGGAAAGGAGAAGGUGGACAAGGAUUGACUCGGGAGAAAUUUUGGUUAGUAUGACCAUAAUUCGAAUUUAAUUAUUAAUUGUUAAAAUUAAAUUAAUAUACACGAUAAGCAAAUUGAGGUGAGUUUCAUAAUUGAAUUGAAUAAUAUAUAUAUAUAUAUAUAUAUACGUAUUGAUAUUGAAUUUAUUGACAGUAAUUAUUGAAUUUUGAAUAAUAUGUUAGUAAAUAAAAAUAAGGAGAAUAUUGAUAUUUAAUUGAAUGAAUUAAAAUAUGAAUUGAAUAAAUGAGAUAUUAAAUUGAGAUAUGUGAAUUGUGUAUUGAUUGAAAAGUGGUUUGAAUUGAAUCGAAGUAUGAUUAUAUGUGAAUAUCUGAAAUAUGUAUUGGUAUUGAAUUGUAUAUUGAUUUGAAAGUGGGAAGUGAAUCUGAGUUGAAUUGCGAUUAAAUCGAAAGUGAAUUUGAAAUAGAAAAAUGUAUUGAAACAAAUGGUGAUUAAAUGGGAAUGAUUUGAAUUGAAAGUAUGAGAAAGUGAUUGAAUUGAAAUGUGAUUCGGAAACCCUAUUAACUAGUCGGGCUGAGUCGGAUAUAGUUGGCAUGCCAUAGGAUUGGAAGAGUUCAGGGAUACUUCGACCUUGAGUCGAUGAGAUACUGGGUGUCAUACUAUUACUUCGGAUAGAUUCGAUGAGGUACUGGGUACCAACUUACUUCGGCUUGGCCGAUGAGACACUGGGUGUCAACUAUUGCUUCGAACUAUCCGAUGAGGCACUGGGUGCCAUUCUGGUGUGUUUGGUUGGAUUCGUGUAUCCGCCAAGGUCCGAGUCUUGUUAAUAGGGGAAAUAAUUGAAAUGAGAAAAUUGAAUAAAUGUGAUUGAUUGAGCUAUGGGAAGAAACGAAAAAGUGAAAUUGUGAAUUGAUGUGUGAAUUGGAAAUCGAAAUAAGAGAUUUAAAGAUAUGAGCCCAAAGUUCAUGAUGUGAUAAAGAGUAAAUUUUGUUAUAUGAUAUUAGUGAGUACAAAUUGCAAUAGAAUUGAUACUAAAUAUAGUGAUAAAUUGAAUGAAUUUCAUAUGAACUGAAAUGAAUUAUUGGAAUGAGAUGUGAAAAAUCCAAUAAAAUUUAGAUAGUGAAAUAAGGUAUGAAUACCAUUAAAUAUAAGACUGAAAUAUUGCUUAUUGUUAUUAAUGAUCGAGUUGAUUUAAAGUAUGAGACAAUUAGUGAAUAAUUGUAGACAUAAAUUAAAUGUAUAUAAUUUAUCAAUUUAUGUUAUUAAUUUGAAUUAUGGAAAUACCACUGAGUAUACCCAUACUCAGCGUACGGUUGUUUCCGUGCACAGGAUUGUAGAAAACCAGUGUUCGAUCCAGCAUCCAAAGUAAUCCCGACCUCAGAGACAUUUUAGUGAUGUACCUUUCUGUUGAUAAUGUGGCAUGUACCUAAGUAAUGUACAUACCUAGGUAAUGUAUAUACCUAAGUGAUGUAUAGGGAUUAGUCAUUUUGAAUGUUGUAUCUAUGAUAUUGCUAAAGAAAGAUGUGUGGGUAUGUGAUAAUGUUUGGCUUUUAAAAUGGUUAAGUAUGAAAAUCAAGAAAGGGUAAAUUUUGCAAAGAAA
rnacentral:lncRNA from 1 species